UGCUCUGUCAUAAGAAACCGCGCGGUUCCGUUAAUCGGAAAGUGAGGAAAGUCCGGACUCCAUUAAAGCAGAGGUGCCAGGUGAAUAACCAGGCGAUAAUAGGUGUAAACCUUUUAUCGGGAAACUGUAACAGAAAAUAUACCUCCGUUCAAAUACGGUAAGGGUGAAAUGGCCGGGUAAGAGCCGACCGGUGGAAGUGUGAAUUUCCAGCCUUACAGUCCCAUUUGGAGCAAAGCCAUGUAUAGGAAGCAUGAAGCUACUGCUUGCUUUUUAAUCUUCCGGGGUAGGCUGCAAAAAGUCCGGUAGUGAUACCUGACUAAGAUAAAUGGUUAUCUGCCGUGUAAAAAACGGUACAGAAUCCGGCUUAUUUGGCAGAGCAGUUG
rnacentral:RNase_P_RNA from 6 species